GGGAGCCGUAACACAGGUGCGUAAUGGCUAGUCGUCAGCUCGUGUCGUGAGAUGUUGGGUUAAGUCCCGCAAGAUUGGCAAACCUUUNUUCCCUAGUUUGCUACGCAAGAGCACUCUAGGGAGACUGCCGGUGACAAACCGGAGGAAGGUGGGGAUGACGUCAAGUCCUCAUGGCCCUUAUGGGUAGGGCUUCACACGUCAUACAAUGGUCGGAACAGAGGGUUGCCAAGCCGCGAGGUGGAGCCAAUCCCAGAAAACCCCAUCGUAUCCGGA
rnacentral:rRNA from 1 species